rnacentral:lncRNA from 1 species
AAUCCUUGAAUGCUCUGUGGGGAAUGAUCCGUCUGCCGGGACCAAUGAGCCACCAAAAAUAAAUUGGCUGCUUGAAAAGUUGACCUUGCGGGGGGGAGUAUCAACUAUGGAAACUUUGUUCGGCGAGGCUCUGUGAGGAGAGUCUGUGGGGAAAACACUUCCUGGGGAAAUGUCGUAGGAAACGACCUCUGCUGGGGAUGAGAUGAACACUGGGAACACCACCCUCUUGUCCGUUGGGUAUGCAACCACUCCGCUGUUG